rnacentral:rRNA from 1 species
CCUACGGGGAGCAGCAGUGAGGAAUAUUGGUCAAUGGGCGGAAGCCUGAACCAGCCAAGUCGCGUGAGGGACGACGGUCCUAUGGCUUGUAAACCUCUUUUGUCUGGGAGCAAAAGACGCCACGCGUGGCGUUCCGAGAGUACCCGAAGACAAAGCAUCGGCUAACUCCGUGCCAGCAGCCGCGGUAAUACGGAGGAUGCGAGCGUUAUCCGGAUUUAUUGGGUUAAAAGGGUGCGCAGGCGGAAGAUCAAGUCAGCGGUAAAAGUGAGAGGCUCAACCUCUUCGAGCCGUGGAAACUGGUUUUCUUGAGUGAGUGAGAAGUAUGCGGAAUGCGUGGUGUAGCGGUGAAAUG